CCACCAAACAAAAGGUAUGCAGGUAACCACUGGAGCAGGCACAGUUUAACAGAGUGAGUAAAUCACAAGAUGGUGCCCACAUCCCAACACUGAACAUGGUGUGACACAGCUUCACAUUCUCCCUAAGCAAUAUAGUAAGUCAUGGAAUACACCUUGCAUGUGUUAUUGACUAUUAUUAUAUUUAAUCGUGUGGAUAAUUGUCUUUUUCAAACACAAUGGACAAAGCAUGCUAUCAAAAAGUUUUCUUGGUGUAAGCAAUUUUUACAAAAUGACAUACCACUGAUUUAAAAUACACAUUUUGGGUAGCCUACGUGCAAAAUGUGUCAUUCUCAUUAUCUUUAGUAAUUCAGAUUUGUGGCUGGUAAACAAGGCUACUCCUAAGCUUGUGAUGUUUGUUGGAAAUUUGACUACUACAUUUUUUAUCCUCAUAUUUUACAUUUUAAUAUUAGGUGCACGUGUGGACCCUGUGAACUAUACCUACUGAAAAUGUCAACACGCUGCAGGGAGAUACCACAGGUCAGAAGACAGCUGCAGCAGCAGAGCAGUCCAUCGUGCAUGGCAGAGCGUCCUGGGCUGGACCCUGUUUGCCUCAACGUGUUCUCCCUACAGAAUGCAUUCAACACAGACCCAGCUGACUGACCCUUUACGGCUAAGUGGAAGAGAACAAGCACACCUUUGUCAGUCGCUUAAUGUUCCACACAUGAGCUGGUCCCAGUGGUGGUUCUGCCUGCGUGGAGUUUCCUAGCGCCUAAG